rnacentral:rRNA from 1 species
UACGUAGGGCGCAAGCGUUGUCCGGAAUUAUUGGGCGUAAAGAGCUCGUAGGCGGUUUGUCGCGUCUGCUGUGAAAACCUAAGGCUCAACCUUGGGCCUGCAGCCGAUACGGGCAGACUAGAGUUCGGCAGGGGAGACUGGAAUUCCUGGUGUAGCGGUGGAAUGCGCAGAUAUCAGGAGGAACACCGGUGGCGAAGGCGGGUCUCUGGGCCAUUACUGACGCUGAGGAGCGAAAGCGUGGGGAGCAAACAGG